rnacentral:lncRNA from 1 species
UUGAGGAGGGUAGAACAAGGUGAAAACAAAUUCCACCUUACGAAAAAUCAAUGGAGUCCAUGUGAGGCAUGAAGGUUAUUAGGUCGAUCUCGCCAAAAAAAGGUCUGGCGGUCAUCAGUUUAUCUUCACGGGAAGAAGCUGCUUCAUAUGCCAAUGUCACGAAGUCGACAGCAAAUUUUUUGAAAAAUCACGAAAAGUCGAAAAGAAUCAUAUCUAACAAUGCACUAAAUUUGAACAAAAGCAAAAUAUAAGAAGUUUGCAGUCUGUUCAAGAUUAACACCAUAUCGCCAAAAAAAAAGAGAAUUAAUGAAAAAGAAGAAAAGAAAAAUGAGUGAAAAAAGGAGA